GUAGGUUCUUAUAAGGAUUAAAUAAGUUCACAUUUGCGAACUGCUUGGACCAGUGCCUGUAAUAUGAGCGCUUUGUGGUACGUCCAAAGGAAGUACGUGCGGGUGCCCCAGCCUUCCCCACAGAACAAUGGACUGAUUACUUCAAGUGAGUUGCUACACGCUCAGCACAGACUCAGACAACACAAGAAAAUAUCUAUCAAGGUUUUUUAUCAUGGAGAAGUUCAGCGUUUGGGGAAAAGCAAGAUUUACGCACAAGAAGCGAGUGGAAGACAAUACGAGGCAAAUGCCUAAUGCAGCAAUGAAGUUGUCCCUUCUCAAUCUCAGGAAACCCCUUAACCUCACAAAACCUUAGCGUUUGCUUUUCUCAUUACAGAGCCCUAAAGCAAACAGGAACUGAGGCAAAGAGAUUUAAAUUAGAAGAGUAACUUAGUAAUAAUAAUGCUUGUAGUACAGAGCUUUUCAUGUAUGUUGUCUCAAGGUACUGUAAGACCUUGAAAAACAAUGCUUAAAGGAAGUGGGCAGGGGUUCCACUAUUUUUUUUCUGACCUAACUGAUAUUUGGGGAGGCCCAGUGCUAGGGACAGAACUGUGAGGUGAACAGAUUUAUGUGACACUCUUCCUUCCUCAACUAGAUAGAUCACCUCCUCCUCCUCCAUUUCCCUCUCUUCCUUCCUGCUGCAGUUAGUGGGAUCUUAAUUUUCACCCCCACCCCCACCCCCGCCUCCCCGCCUGUGAAGGGAAUCCUGGAGGUUCUGGUCCUCACCUGUUUCAGGGUUUAAUAGGGCUUAUUUUUCAGUGAGUUGAAGUCGAUUUUGUGAAUUUGUUUCUUGAAGCAUUAUGACCAAGAGACAUUAAGAAGUCAUACAAUUUUGUUCUCUGUUCAGCAAACAAACAAAAACCGAGGACAAAAACAAAAACUUCUUACCCUGCCGUAAAAGGAAGUUAUAUUAAUUUGAGAGCUGUAAAGAAGGAAAUUCCAAAACCAUUUUGGUAACCAAGUCUGGUAUUUGUCAGGAAACUCUUUUUCAUAGAUAAUGUAAAUCCCUGUCGUAGAAAUAUAAAACCAUUUCCUCUCA